rnacentral:rRNA from 1 species
UACGGAAGGUCCGGGCGUUAUCCGGAUUUAUUGGGUUUAAAGGGAGCGUAGACGGCGGUGCAAGUCUGAAGUGAAAUACCCGGGCUCAACCUGGGAACUGCUUUGGAAACUGUAUGGCUAGAGUGCUGGAGAGGUAAGCGGAAUUCCUAGUGUAGCGGUGAAAUGCUUAGAUAUCACGAAGAACUCCGAUUGCGAAGGCAGCUCACUGGAGCGCAACUGACGCUGAAGCUCGAAAGUGCGGGUAUCGAACAGG